ensembl:lncRNA
GUGAUGGUGUCGGUUGUGAUGAUGUCUUUAGUGAUGAUGUCAGUAGUGACUGUGUCGGUAGUUAUGGUGUCAGUGGUUAAGAUGUCUGUGGUGAUGAUGUCAUCAGUGACUGUGUCCGUAGUUUUGGUGUCCAUAGUGGUGGUGUCAGUAGUUAUGGUGUCGGUAGUGAUUAUGUUGGUAGUGAAGGUGUCGGUGGUGAUGGUGUCGGUAGUGAUGGUGUCGGUAGUGAUGAUGUCGGUAGUGAUGGUGUCGGUAGUGAUGACGCUGGUAGUGAUGGUGUCGGUAGUGAUGAUGCUGGUAGUGAUGAUGCUGGUAGUGAUGGUGUCGGUAGUGAUGAUGCUGGUAGUGAUGGUGUCGGUAGUGAUGGUGUCGGUAGUGAUGAUGCUGGUAGUGAUGGUGUCGGUAGUGAUGAUGCUGGUAGUGAUGAUGCUGGUAGUGAUGAUGCUGGUAGUGAUGGUGUCGGUAGUGAUGGUGUCGGUAGUGAUGGUGUCGGUAGUGAUGAUGCUGGUAUGGAUGGUGUCCGUAGUGAUGAUGUCGGUAGUGAUGGUGUCGGUAGUGAUGGUGUCGGUAGUGAUGAUGCUGGUAGUGAUGCUGGUAGUGAUGGUGUCGGUAGUGAUGGUGUCGGUAGUGAUGAUGCUGGUAGUGAUGAUGCUGGUAGUGAUGAUGCUGGUAGUGAUGGUGUCGGUAGUGAUG